CACGUAGGGGCCAAGCGUUGUCCGGAUUUAUUGGGCGUAAAGAGCUCGUAGGCGGUUGGGUAAGUCGGGUGUGAAAACUCCAGGCUCAACUUGGAGACGCCAUCCGAUACUGCUCUGACUUGAGUUCGGUAGGGGAGUGGGGAAUUCCUGGUGUAGCGGUGAAAUGCGCAGAUAUCAGGAGGAACACCGGUGGCGAAGGCGCCACUCUGGGCCGAAACUGACGCUGAGGAGCGAAAGCGUGGGUAGCAAACAGG
rnacentral:rRNA from 1 species